AAAGCAGUCUUUUGUCAGUUAGCAAAAACUUAAGCCUACCUCUGGAAAAAGAUGGAUGUUUUCCUCUUUCACAGCAUUCUUAUUUUCUGAGAGGUGAUGAUGCUCUCCAUCAGAAACAUGAUACGCUUCUGAAAUAUUCAAUAGGCUAAGACGACACCAGGAAUACCUGCUGAUGAACUUCUGUUCCAGUAGCAAAAUGUACAGGGCUGCUACUACCAAGAGAGUAACAAAUAAUCAUAUGAUCAGAUUCCUCACAUUCAUCUGCCAAUCUUGAGCUCUGACAUGAACUCGAAGCGUACAGAAACGGCCAGAUUACUUGAAGCAACAAGCACCUCCGUACCCCUAUCUUGUUUUGCUGGCAACCAUGGGUGUUCCGCCGACAUCCUUACAAAUCAUAAACACAGUCAUUUAUUUCGGUAAGCUAUUUCAAGCACACGGGUUUGAAACGUAUCAGGUAUCCGCAAACCAUAAGCG